rnacentral:rRNA from 1 species
CGCGGCCUAUCAGCUUGUUGGUGGGGUGAUGGCCUACCAAGGCGACGACGGGUAGCCGGCCUGAGAGGGUGUCCGGCCACACUGGGACUGAGAUACGGCCCAGACUCCUACGGGAGGCAGCAGUGGGGAAUAUUGCACAAUGGGCGCAAGCCUGAUGCAGCGACGCCGCGUGGGGGAUGACGGCCUUCGGGUUGUAAACCUCUUUCAGUAGGGACGAAGCGCAAGUGACGGUACCUACAGAAGAAGCACCGGCCAACUACGUGCCAGCAGCCGCGGUAAUACGUAGGGUGCGAGCGUUGUCCGGAAUUACUGGGCGUAAAGAGCUCGUAGGUGGUUUGUCGCGUUGUUCGUGAAAACUCACAGCUUAACUGUGGGCGUGCGGGCGAUACGGGCAGACUGGAGUACUGCAGGGGAGACUGGAAUUCCUGGUGUAGCGGUGGAAUGCGCAGAUAUCAGGAGGAACACCGGUGGCGAAGGCGGGUCUCUGGGCAGUAACUGACGCUGAGGAGCGAAAGCGUGGGGAGCGAACAGGAUUAGAUACCCUGGUAGUCCACGCCGUAAACGGUGGGUACUAGGUGUGGGUUUCCUUCCUUGGGAUCCGUGCCGUAGCUAACGCAUUAAGUACCCCGCCUGGGGAGUACG